AAUCUGAACGUCAUCAACUAUGG
rnacentral:snRNA from 1 species